AUUUAAAUACAAAUUCUUGGAAUUAAAGUGACUUGAGAUAUCAAUAAUAUAAAAAAACACACGGAUACCAGCAAUAAUUAUGUACAUUUCAUCUGCAACCCUUUUUGCCUUCGUCUGCGAUUAACUGCGAAUUCGCAUUUCUUUGGUUUGAGCUCAGUUUCUUACGUUCAGGCAUGAAGUUCACAUCGAGCAGUAUAAAAAUCCAUUUGGCCAUAGCCGGGCUUACUAUAUUGAUAUCCAUGGCGUUUUCAAUACUCAACUAUUGGACGGAUAUACUAAAGCAUGGACAAAUCUGGACGCAUAUCUGUUUAAUAGAAGUUUUAAGCAGCUUUUUAUUAAUAGCUGGCUCCAUUGGGAAAAAUCAAUGGUUAUUUGUACCUUGGAUAGUAUCAGCUGUUAUUUUCAUCUAUGCCUUAUUAUAUAUAAGCUAUUUCAACGAUUGGAGAGAUAAAGCGAUAUAUACACAAAUACGUUAUAGGACUGUGUUUCAUAUAAUAGCAGGUUUCUGGUCAUACUUUACUUAUGGCAUAUAUCAAGAUUUUAUAGAACUCCGACGUUAUGAUAUAGCAAAGAUAAUAAGAGCUGGG